CACCGCCCGGCGCCAUCCUGAGCCGGCGAGCCCCGCUCCACCAACAGGUUCUCAGCAACUUGCUAAUAAGUGUACUGACAGAUGGAAAUCUGGCAACCCAGCUCCCGCUACUUAGUCCACAAUCUGAGAAGACCAGCUUCCUGUUUGGGCUACCGACAGACUAAUUAUCUCACUAUCAGGGUGCUAAUUAAGCAAAGAGACGUCAGAAUUAUCCAAGAAAUGUUCAGAGAAAUCAUCAGAAACAAGUAGGAUGCUAAUUAGCUCUAGCAACGUUGGAAAUUUGGCAACUCAACUCGCACUAGUUAGCCCACAGUCUGAGGUAACUAUCUUCUUAUUUGGGUUACCAACCGUCUAAUUAGCAUGCUACCGUGGCGCCAUUUAGGCUAACGGUAGUCCAAAUGAUGCUACAAACGUAAAGAGAAAUCUUCAACCUAAAGUCUGGCCAGUCGAAUAGACCGCUAAUUAGCUCUCACCAACUUGCUAAUGAGUCUCCUUACAAACGGAGAUUUGGCUCCAACAGGUUAGCUCGCAGUCUGAAGUAACCGUCUUCGUUAGCUAGCCUGGGCUACCACAAGCCGGCUAAUUAGGCUAACAGUAGUCCAAGUUGGCUAAGUGAGUUAAAUCGCCAACGCUAGGUUAAGUAGCUUUCAACGACCUGCUAACAAGUCUCCUAGCAGCAAUUUGGGUAUCAACUCCCACUGACUGGUUACAAGCAGUCUGCUAAUUAGCCUAAUUAGCCCCCCGGUAGUGAGCUAACGGUCAGAAUUGAUCCCGUUAGCAGUGGGAGAAAUCGCCAAUUAGCUUACGAACAUGCUAUGUAGCUAGCUAACAUAUCCAACAACCGUCAUGUUUUCCAGGCUAGUAACUCAUCUUGUUACCAACGUGCAAAUCUGCCUGCUAACAGCUGUUUUAUUAUCUUCAUGAAUAAUAAAACAUCUUUUGUAUUUUUACCCUACAAUCGAUCAGGAAUUAACUAAUUUUAUUUUUAGCUUGCUAAUUAGCUCAUGAGCACCUGGUAGCCUAGUGUUGUCCCAUUUGGACGAAUUAACGUCGCCAUCGGGCUGCUGACAAGCCCAAAGAUAACCUCAUUUAAUUACCAACAGCUAGCCCAUUAGCCUGCUAGGGAGAGGAUCCACCCACUGGGCGUCCUAGAAUCCUAAAAAUUAGUGAUUUAGUGAUUAGUCACAGCUGAUUGGCCCCUGCUAAUAUAUAAACA